UACAGAGGUGGCGAGCGUUAUUCGGAAUUAUUGGGCGUAAAGGGCGCGUAGGCGGCCCUGUAAGUCACCGGUGAAAUCCCUCGGCUCAACCGAGGACGUGCCGUUGAUACUGCAGGGCUCGAGGCCGGGAGAGGGUAGUGGAAUUCCCAGUGUAGCGGUGAAAUGCGUAGAUAUUGGGAGGAACACCGGUGGCGAAGGCGGCUACCUGGACCGGUUCUGACGCUGAUGCGCGAAAGCGUGGGGAGCAAACAGG
rnacentral:rRNA from 1 species